CUGGACAUUUCCGUCGUGGUCUGCCUUGAAUCCAAGCUGAAGAACAGAAACUUGAAGUUUAGAAACUGGAAUAAUGGCUGAGCAAACGCUGUUUUUCAACCCAAGUGUCCCAUCACUAGUCCAAUCGAGGAAAGAUUGCAGGAUGGAAUGAAUAUUACUGUAUGUGGACGAGUUCCAUCAGACUCAAACAGAUUCCAAGUGGAACUCCAGUAUGGGUCCGAUAUCAUUCUUCACUUUAACCCUCGCUAUGAGUCUGGAGGAUAUGUAGUGCACAACACCCUCCAAAACUCGUCACC